rnacentral:rRNA from 1 species
AUGAUUUACAUUUGAGUGAGUGGCGAACUGGUGAGUAACACGUGGGAAACCUGCCCAGAAGCGGGGGAUAACACCUGGAAACAGAUGCUAAUACCGUAUAACAGAGAAAACCGCAUGGUUUUCUUUUAAAAGAUGGCUCUGCUAUCACUUCUGGAUGGACCCGCGGCGUAUUAGCUAGAUGGUGAGGUAACGGCUCACCAUGGCAAUGAUACGUAGCCGACCUGAGAGGGUAAUCGGCCACAUUGGGACUGAGACACGGCCCAAACUCC